CCAGAAGUUAAAGAUAAAUGGGGUUUUGUCAAUUACAAGUGCUUCAGUUCAGAGGAUUUCCAUUCACAAAGACAUACUGUCAGAGAAAGAAGACGCCAACACAUUGCAUGAUGAGGUAGUAAAGAAGUUCAUUGAAAAACCACGAAGACUUGCUUUCUUAUACAAAUAGGUAUUCAUAUAUGGCUGAUAACAAGCUGAUGAUGUCUUACGUCCAUGGCAUGUGAGAAUUUUUCCGUGAACUUUUUAAUGCAGUCAAUGAUGAUUGUCAUUUCAGCACGACAAUUUCAUCACAACUUUUGAUAGUUGUUGAUGACAAAUCUGAGCCUUUUUCGGUUCUUUUGUCAAAGUUUCUUUACAAGAUGUACAUAGGUAUCUAUUUAUGUAU